ensembl:lncRNA LINC01837 long intergenic non-protein coding RNA 1837
AGGCAGUUGAACGAUAUGGACAGGUGAAGGCUCCGUGGGGACUGGCCCAGCUCGCGGAGAGCUGGAGGGGGUAAUGUCAUUGCAUGUACACAGUUUAAGACAGAGCAUCUGGUGAUUCUCGGACCUUCAAGCAAGUGUCACAUCUCAGGUGAACCUUGGCAGUUUUAAGAUGAACAAAGUAAUCAAAGCAAAAAUGUCAAAUAAUAAUAAUAAUAAUGAUAUCAGAAGAAUGUCCAGUGCCAUGGUUGGAUUCCCAGAAGGCAGCAUCUGCUCAUGCCAUCAACAACAUGGUGCCAUUUCAGUCAUCCUCUUUUUGUCCCAAAGACAGAAAAAAAAUAGAAAAAAGAAAGAGAAAAAGACACCACGAACCGUCUAUCCUCCUGGGUGUGAGGUUUGGAGGGCCUCUCGUCAAAACUUUGGAGGGCUCUGUCAGUUUGAAAAGAACAUGACCUUUAAAUUGUAUCAGUAUGUUUGCUGGUGCAUAAGGGAGAGGAAAAGGUUCGUCCUGAUGGAAAACCACUCAGAAGCCAAGGAGUAAUUCAGAGGGAACCAGCCCAGGAAGAAUCAAGAAAGCUGCCCACAGUGUCAUUCUUCAGCUGAGAAAAGAGAGAGUUGACUAACUCCUCGGACUGGAGUGAGGACUCACAGAGGUGGUAGGACACUAACCAUCUAUGUCUCCAUUUCCUGGGUUGUAACACUGAGGUAGAACAUCUCACUGUCCCAUGGAGGAUUAUGUUAUUUUUGGAGAUUAAUAAUUUUGGAGGAAGAAAGGUGGCUUCCUGAAAAGGAAGUCACAUGAAGAAGCAACUUACACGGUGGUCUCUUUAAAUAAACAUAUUGUGACUAGACAA